rnacentral:rRNA from 1 species
AUACGUAGGUGGCAAGCGUUGUCCGGAAUUAUUGGGCGUAAAGCGCAUGUAGGCGGUUUGGUAAGUCGGUCGUGAAAAUGCGGGGCUUAACGCCGUAUGGCGAUCGAAAAUGGUGAAAUUGUGCGCAGGAGUGGGAAGGGGAAAUCCCAGUGUAGCGGGGAAAUGCGUAGAUAUUGGGAAGAACACCGGUGGCGAAGGCGCCUGUCUGGACUGUUUCUGACGCUCAGAUGCGAAAGCCAGGGUAGCGAACGGGAUUAGAUACCCCGGUAGUCCUGGCCGUAAACGAUGGGUACUAGGUGUGGGAGGUAUCGACUCCUUCCGUGCCGGAGUUAACGCAAUAAGUACCCCGCCUGGGGAGUACGGCCGCAAGGCUAAAACUCAAAUGAAUUGACGGGG